GAAGCUCGUGGAAAUCAGUUUAUUCAGCCUUGCCACUUUCUUUCUCUCUCCCUCCCUUGUCUCCUGCACACUUGCUGGCUCCUCUUUCUCUGUGUAUUACCGACUGUCACGAAGACGACUUACACCUCACAAAUCAUCUUGCACCUAAAUCUGACGCCUAGAGUCAUUAACAAAGUAAUCCAUUAAUCUUCAAAGUUUUGACACUGGACCCCAGAACCCAGCCACAUAAGAAGUUACACAGACGAAGCUACAGCCAUUUGCUUCAUGUUUUCGUUGGGAGUUCGGUCCCCCUAUUAUUAUAUUUGUACAGUACCGGACACUCUUUGAUUAUUGUGCUGUAUGAAGGCAAUAAUUCAAGCAGGAGGUCGAAUAUGGCGGUGAUUCUGGAUACUACGUUAUAUUAUUUUAUACUCGUUUGUUUAAACCAACGAAAAACGUAAAAGGCGUUUCACUGAAGCAUAUUCAACGCUACUGAGCUAUAACGCAGCAUAAGGAAAAAGACACCGACCCCGCUCAGAAUGCUUCAGUUCUGCGACACAUAUGGCUUGAAGAAAAAAUAUAAUCGCUUUCGGGAUGUAUAUAUGCAUACGAAACCGUAGUUAGAUUGUUACUGUGUUGAUUUUUUGGGAAAACGGACCGGAAACCGGCGACAAAUAGUAAUGUUUCUCGGCUGGCGAAAUAUUGUUUACCCAAUGCAAUAUCUGUAUAUUUUACGUGUACCUUAUGCCUCUUGAUCAAACAAAGCAUUAUUAAUAAUUAAAAAAUUAAGCCCGUAA